rnacentral:sRNA from 1 species
CUUGGUCAUUUAGAGGAAGUAAAAGUCGUAACAAGGUUUCCGUAGGUGAACCUGCGGAAGGAUCAUUAGUGAAUUGAAUAUGUUAGCGGACCUCUUCGGAGUCCCUAGCAUCAAAUCAUAUCCAUAACACCUGUGAACUGUAAGGCUGUCUUGAAAACGAAAGUGAUUAGAGCGCCUGCCCAUUUUAUACAAACAUUAAAGUAACAAACGUAGUCUUAUUAUAAUCUAAUAAAACUUUCAACAACGGAUCUCUUGGCUCUCGCAUCGAUGAAGAACGCAGCGAAAUGCGAUAAGUAAUGUGAAUUGCAGAAUUCAGUGAAUCAUCGAAUCUUUGAACGCACCUUGCGCUCUUUGGUAUUCCGAAGAGCAUGCCUGUUUGAGUGUCAUGAAAAUAUCAACCUUGACUUGGGUUUAGUGCUCUUGUCUUGGCUUGGAUUUGGCUGUUUGCCGCUCGAAAGAGUCGGCUCAGCUUAAAAGUAUUAGCUGGAUCUGUCUUUGAGACUUGGUUUGACUUGGCGUAAUAAGUUAUUUCGCUGAGGACAAUCUUCGGAUUGGCCGAGUUUCUGGGACGUUUGUCCGCUUUCUAAUACAAGUUCUAGCUUGCUAGACAUGACUUUUUUAUUAUCUGGCCUCAAAUCAGGUAGGACUACCCGCUGAACUUAAGCAUAUCAAUAAGCGGAGGAAAAGAAACCAACAGGGAUUGCCUUAGUAACGGCGAGUGAAGCGGCAAAAGCUCAAAUUUGAAAUCGGCCACCAGGUCGAGUUGUAAUUUGUAGAUUGUAUCUUGAGAGCGGAUUAAAGUCUGUUGGAACACAGCGCCUUAGAGGGUGACAGCCCCGUAAAAUCUAUUCUCAUUGUAAGAUACUUUCGAAGAGUCGAGUUGUUUGGGAAU